rnacentral:lncRNA from 1 species
CUCUGGACAUAAAUAGUAGAAGCGAUGUUCUAAAUGUGAGUAGUAAAGGCCAUACUCUAAAUAUAUAUACCUGUAAUAAACUAACACCCUUACAUGGAGGUGAAGCUUGAAGCUUCCAUGUCAAGGGCUUUCAUUUUUUUGUAUGUUGGAAGGGAAAUAAAAACUACACCAUUCCUAAAGAACAAACGUCUCUUUGAAUUUAACUUGAUUCAAGAGCCACAACAGUUGCUCAUUCGAUCUUUGCCUUGUCUUAUUUUUGCUGUUCAUUGUCAUCGGAGACAGGUCUAUGAAUUCGAUUGAUUCCUUGUUCAACUAAUCAACUUUUACGUUGCUGUCUAACCUUUAUCAGCAUCUUCAUAAAUUCAACACGAACCUAGUGAGGUCCUCCUCAGGACUGGGUUGUCACAUUGGAGAAUUGUCGAUGACCUUAACUGCAUUUUCUAGCUUCCCUGAAUGGCCAAAUAAUUCGACAAUGCACCCCAUAAUGCUCAACCUUUCCAAGCCAAUCAAAUGAAACACUUCUCAACCAAACCUUGGUGACUACACCCGUGCAAGUUGCAACGAACCAAGAAAUGUAACAGAGUUUUUACUCCACUCAUCAUGUUAACGAAAAGAGAAAUACCUCCAAAACCAGGUUCAGUAGCCAAUUCAUGCCCUACAAAAACAUUAAACAACAG